rnacentral:rRNA from 1 species
UACGGGGGGGGCAAGCGUUGUUCGGAAUUACUGGGCGUAAAGGGCGCGUAGGCGGCUUGUUAAGUCAGACGUGAAAUCCCUCAGCUUAACUGGGGAACUGCGUCUGAUACUGGCGAGCUUGAGUGCAGGAGAGGAACGCGGAAUUCCAGGUGUAGCGGUGAAAUGCGUAGAUAUCUGGAGGAACACCGGUGGCGAAGGCGGCGUUCUGGACUGCAACUGACACUGAGAAACGAAAGCCAGGGUAGCAAACGGG